GUCCUCUGGCUUCUAUGCAUGGCUUUUUCCCUGUGCAUGUGGCAAGAGUUACAUUGUAGGUCAACAUAUGCUUUAAGUUUUACUUCAGGUCUUUAAUGUCUUAUCUCAGAGUAUGCCCACACCUCCUCAUGUACUGAAGUGAGAAAAAUGCAUGAUCCUGCGUGCUGGAGGUGCUGUGCUAGCAUUAAAAUUCAGUGAUGGUGUUUGUAGGGAGGAAGAGGUUUGUUUUUCUGCUGAGAUCUCUGCUGCGAGCAGUGUCUCCUGCUUUUACAACCAACAUAGGCCUCCAGUUGUACCACCGCUCAAAGGGGAAAGUAGGAUCACUGGUCAAAACUCUCCCGAGCCCAGGGACCACUGUUAAGAGUGCACACAGCCUUCCCGUUGGCAAACCCCACCAACUGUCCACAUAUGAGAAAGCCCCAAGCAGUUCUGCAAGACACCCUCUCCUCUGCGGGCUGAAGUUCUGGUGGUGGUGGUCAGAAGCGCUGCCACACGGCGGCAGAGUUGAGGCUGCUUCUGAACGGGGAAGAGAGCGGUGGAAGGAAACUUUCUGUUAGGAAUGACCUGAAUUUCCUGCUAGGGACACCAGGUCGUCUUUCAAGGUGUUGAUGUAGAGGACUUCUUCCUUGUCCAAGGCCUAGGGGUUUUAGGUUAUUUCUCUGAGGAUCUGAAGUAAAGGGGAUUUUGUGGUCAGCUACAGCCCUUCCCACCAACACACCAUGAAAAUAUGGCUCAUCAUUUUGACCAAAGCUGGGGUUACAAAAAUAUCCAGUUCUGUAAGUAUCAUGAAAAGCACUGUCCAGAUGGAGUGAGUACUACUGGUGCGCAGAGGCUGAAGCACAAGCCCUCAUUAGUGUUUGACAGAGGGAAAAGGAAUUAUAAGUAUCUUAACCACAGGGAAAGCUUUGAUCGACAAGAACACUUGUCAGCCAAGAGGAUGUUCAGCCAUGAAGCACUGAGCCCAGGAAACAAGGCUGAUACAUUCUCCUGCCCACAGAGCUGCUUGGUUUUGAUGAAGAGUGAAAGAUGAGAAAGCGAAAAAUGUCUGUGUAAUCAAGAAAUCACCCUUUUCUUGAUGACAUCUGUGUUGCAGAAAAUCAGAUCCCACGCGUAGGAGUGGGAGUAGACUCUGCUUCCUUUGGGUUUUGCUUUCUUUUGAGCUGAAAAAGGAAAAAUACUGAAACGUUUGAAUGUCUCAAAUUUUCCCCAAAGUUAAGCCACAGAGAUGAACAAAUUUUCCAAAUUCAGCCCAUUCUUCCCCUUACAUGCCCUGACAAUGAGGUGAACACUAAACCAGAUGAAUGAGCAGUAGGAGCACAGAGGCUGCCUGCCCCAGGCUGCCCUUUUGAAGGACCACUUGAAGAUAGCAGAGUGCUGGCCAGGUAAUUAUUUCAAAGCACGAACCAAGCUCUGCAGUCCUUGGAUGAGGUACAGCACCAGAGUCCUGACCUCAUUUACAGGGCUUGCAUUUAGGAAAUGCCAAGCGAUUAUGCAGAGAGCUUUCCUGUGUGCAAUCAUAUGAGGCAGGAGACAUGAAGUCACUGUCCUGAAGCCCAAGGUGAAGUCAGACUGACUUUGAAAGUCUCAGACAGGCCUAGGGCUGCCUUUUGUACUGCUGUUAAGAAGCAAAACUGAUCCUGCCUAAUUUAUUGGGCUGUUUUCUGGCUUUGUCCUUUUGGGAAAGUUGGCAUUUCGAUUCCACUCAGACAUUUUUCUGGGCUUCAGCAUUAGAAGAAUUAAAGUCAAGCACUAGUUA